rnacentral:rRNA from 1 species
UCGGCUGUCACUUAUAGAUGGACCCGCGCCGUAUUAGCUAGUUGGUAAGGUAACGGCUUACCAAGGCAACGAUACGUAGCCGACCUGAGAGGGUGAUCGGCCACACUGGAACUGAGACACGGUCCAGACUCCUACGGGAGGCAGCAGUAGGGAAUCUUCCGCAAUGGGCGAAAGCCUGACGGAGCAACGCCGCGUGAGUGAUGAAGGUCUUAGGAUCGUAAAACUCUGUUGUUAGGGAAGAACAAAUUUGUUAGUAACUGAACAAGUCUUGACGGUACCUAACCAGAAAGCCACGGCUAACUACGUGCCAGCAGCCGCGGUAAUACGUAGGUGGCAAGCGUUAUCCGGAAUUAUUGGGCGUAAAGCGCGCGUAGGCGGUUUCUUAAGUCUGAUGUGAAAGCCCACGGCUCGACCGUGGAGGGUCAUUGGAAACUGGGGAACUUGAGUGCAGAAGAGGAGAGUGGAAUUCCAUGUGUAGCGGUGAAAUGCGCAGAUAUACGGAGGAACACCAGUGGCGAAGGCGGAUUGCUGGACGAUAACUGACGCUGAGGCGCGAAAGCGUGGGGAGCAAACAGGAUUAGAUACCCUGGUAGUCCACGCCGUAAACGAUGGAUACUAGGUGUGGGGGGACUGACCCCCUCCGUGCCGCAGUUAACACAGUAA